rnacentral:lncRNA from 1 species
GGUUUGGGGUGGUUUUGGUCGAUUUUGGGCUGUUUUCGGGGCGUUUCGAGGUGUUUUUGUCUGUUUUUAGGGUGUUUUUAGGGUGUUUUUGGGUUGUUCUUGGCCGAUUUCAGGCUGGUUUUGGGGUGGUUUUGGCUGGUUUUGGGGUGUUUCUGGCUCUUUGGGGUGUUUUUGGCUGAUUUUGGGGUGUUUUUGGCUGGUUUUUGGCUGUUUUUGGGGUGGUUUUGGUUGUUUUUAGGGUGUUUUUGGGCUGUUUUUGGGGUGUUCUUGGGCGAUUUCAGACUGGUUUUGGGGUGGUUUUGGCUGUUUUUGGGGUGUUUCUGGCUCUUUGAGGUGUUUUUGGCCGAUUUUGGGGUGGUUUUGGCUGUUUUUGGGGUGUUUCUGGCUGUUUUUGGGGUGGUUUUGGCUGUUUUUAGGGUGUUUUUGGCCGAUUCCGGGGUGUUUUGGGCUGUUUUCAGGGUGUUUUUGGCUGUUUUGGGGUGGUUUUGGCCGAUUUCGGGGUGUUUCUGGCUGGUUUUGGGGUUUUUUUAGCCGAUUUUGGGGUGUUUCUGGCUGUUUUGGGGUGUUUUUGGCCGAUUUUUGGGUGUUUCUGGCUGUUUUGGGGUGUUUUUGGCCGAUUUUGGGGUGUUUCUGGCAGGGGACAGACGCUGGGCCGCCGCUGUUUCGAGGUUCGUGUCUGCGCCUGCCCCGGCCGCGAUCGGCGCCUGGAGGAGGAGAACCAGCGCAAAAGGGGCGGGGCCAAGCGAGGUGAGGGCGGGGCCUGAGCCUGAGUGGGCGGGGCCUGGGCUUGGGCUUAUCCAAUGGGAAUGAGG